CGGGGUGUGGCGCAGUUGGUAGCGUACCAGCAUGGGGUGCUGGGGGCCGCGAGUUCGAGUCUCGCCACUCCGA
rnacentral:tRNA from 1 species